AACUUUCAACAACGGAUCUCUUGGCUCUCGCAUCGAUGAAGAACGCAGCGAAAUGCGAUAACUAAUGUGAAUUGCAGAAUUCAGUGAAUCAUCGAGUCUUUGAACGCACCUUGCGCCCUUUGGUAUUUCAAAGGGCAUGCCUGUUUGAGUGUCAUUA
rnacentral:rRNA from 1 species